rnacentral:rRNA from 1 species
UACGAAGGGGGCUAGCGUUGUUCGGAAUUACUGGGCGUAAGGCGUGCGUAGACGGCUAUCUAAGUCGGGUGUGAAAGCCCCGGGCUCAACCUGGGAAUUGCAUUCGAGACUGAAUAGCUAGGGUACGGUAGAGGGAAGUGGAAUUUCCGGUGUAGCGGUGAAAUGCGUAGAUAUCGGAAGGAACAUCAGUGGCGAAAGCGACUUCCUGGACCAGUACCGACGUUCAGGCACGAAAGCGUGGGGAGCAAACAGG